UGGGGAAUAUUGGACAAUGGGCGCAAGCCUGAUCCAGCCAUGCCGCGUGAGUGAUGAAGGCCCUAGGGUUGUAAAGCUCUUUCAACGGUGAAGAUAAUGACGGUACCUGCAGAAGAAGAUGCGGCCAACUACGUGCCAGCAGCCGCGGUGACACGUAGGCAUCAAGCGUUAUCCGGAUUUAUUGGGCGUAAAGAGCUCGUAGGCGGUUCGGUAAGUCGGGUGUGAAAACUCUGGGCUCAACCCGAGAGAGGCCACUCGAUACUGCUGUGACUAGAGUGCGGUAGGGGAGCGGGGGAAUUCCUGGUGUAGCGGUGAAAUGCGCAGGAUAUCGAGGAGGAACACCAGUGGCGAAGGCGCCGCUCUGGGCCGUAACUGACGCUGAGGUGCGAAAGUGUGGGGAGCAAAGCAGGAUUAGAUACCCUGGUAGUCCACACCGUAAACGGAUGAAUGCCAGUCGUCGGGUAGCAUGCUA
rnacentral:rRNA from 1 species